UGGGGAAUAUUGCACAAUGGGGGAAACCCUGAUGCAGCGACGCCGCGUGAGCGAAGAAGGUUUUCGAAUCGUAAAGCUCUGUCCUAUGGGAAGAUAAUGACGGUACCAUAGGAGGAAGCCCCGGCUAACUACGUGCCAGCAGCCGCGGUAAUACGUAGGGGGCAAGCGUUGUCCGGAAUCACUGGGCGUAAAGGGUUCGCAGGCGGAAAUGCAAGUCAGUUGUGAAAGGCAGAGGCUCAACCUCUGUAAGCAAUUGAAACUGUAUUUCUUGAGAUGUGGAGAGGCAAGUGGAAUUCCUAGUGUAGCGGUGAAAUGCGUAAAUAUUAGGAAGAAUACCGGUGGCGAAGGCGACUUGCUGGACACAAACUGACGCUGAGGAACGAAAGCGUGGGUAGCAAACAGG
rnacentral:rRNA from 1 species